GCGGAUGUGGCGGAAUUGGUAGACGCGCUAGAUUUAGGUUCUAGUGCCCUCGUGGCGUGAAGGUUCAAGUCCUUUCAUCCGCA
rnacentral:tRNA from 2 species